AAAUGUGGGUGUUUCCCGUAAGCUCUGAGAGACGGGUUGCGCGGAGCGAUCGGUCAGGAGUGCGACGUCGGUAGACGGCAAACGAUCUGUAGAACUGGCGAAGAGAUAGAAAGACAGGCCAUUGAGAACCGGGCACUAGAACUUAGGCUUCGGAAGUUAGCCUUAUAUAGCAGGUCAUGCGGAACUCAGCUUCGGAUUAUGCCUGGUACUUUUCCGCCUGACAUUUCCUGUUGAAACGAGAUAACGUUCGACGGACAGCCGAUGACACGAAAUAACUUUCCAUUUCGUCAUGGAUUCCAUUGGCCACAUCGCACUCCGACAGAGCAGCACGUCGACGCUAUCGUCUAUGUCAGCGUUGUGUUUGUGGUCUUUGCCACCAUAGUUCUGCUGCUCCUGGCGACCAAUUGCCGCAGUUUACCUCCGGCAGCUGCACCCCUGGCAGCCGAAGAGCCCCAGCCUCAGCCAACGAUUGUGCACCUCAAGAAUUCCGGUGUUUGUGUGCGCACUGAAACCUUUGCUGAGGACAACAUUGUGUGAACUGUGCCUGACACUGUCGAUUAGCUUCUCUUCACCAGCACAUUUGGAUAUGGCUAACAGUGUGGAGCCUAGAAAAGAAUACAAAUGGAGCUUGCAGUAACGUCUUCACUUCGAUAACGCAAAACUACCACCCUUGAACUUUUGCAAAAUAAAAAAAAGUUAAUAAA